UUUAAGGAAAGCUCUUUGUUUUUUGAAAUGAUGCUUUUAUGAGAUAGAGCUUUUUUAGAUAAUGCUUUUUUAGAUAAUGCUGGGGAAGGUUUUCCGGUUUAUCUCGGAGGGCUUGUAGCUCAGUUGGUUAGAGCGCGCGCUUGAUAAGCGUGAGGUCGGAGGUUCAAGUCCUCCCAGGCCCACCAAUUUACCUAUCCAUUUGCCUUUAUCCGUUUAUUUGCCGAUUUAUCGGUCUAUUGAAUUUAAGUGUUGGUAGCAGUUUUUAUAAUGAUGAGAAAUCAUGCUUAUAAAAGAACUCCUUAUAAAAGGCUUGUUUUUAAAAUGUGACGCUUAUCCAUUUCGCUUAGGCAAGAGAAACUUCAAGCGGUUCAAAUGCAAAAGGCUUUAAAUUUUGCAAAACACUUUGAAUUUUAAAGUGAUCCAAGUUCGUGAUCUCGAAUUUAAAAGUUUCGAAUGCUUUAUCCUUUUUUGGGGGCCGUAGCUCAGCUGGGAGAGCACCUGCUUUGCAAGCAGGGGG
rnacentral:misc_RNA from 1 species